rnacentral:rRNA from 1 species
UACGUAGGGGGCUAGCGUUGUUCGGAUUUACUGGGCGUAAAGGGCGCGUAGGCGGCCUUCUAAGUCGAACGUGAAAUCCCUGGGCUCAACCCAGGAACUGCGUCCGAUACUGGAAGGCUUGAAUCCGGGAGAGGGAUGCGGAAUUCCCGGUGUAGCGGUGAAAUGCGCAGAUAUCAGGAAGAACACCCGUGGCGAAGGCGGUUCUCUGGGACGGUACUGACGCUGAGACGCGAAAGCGUGGGGAGCGAACAGG